rnacentral:antisense_RNA from 1 species
ACCACAGCAGCCGGGUAUGGGGGCAGGGCUGGGUGUUCUGAGACCUUCAGAAGCCUGGUCAUGGAGAGCCUGCCCAGGGACCCCCCUGCCUCGCCCCCCAGGCCCCAUGGCGGCAGAGACUCACAGGCAAAGAACUGCCAGGGCUGGUAGGUGCGGCCGAAGUCCAUGGACCGCUCCAGCACCCAGAGGUCCGGCCGGGGUGAGUUGGCAAACUUGAUGAGGACGUAGGCCACAUGGAAGACCUGCGGGUCGAGAGGGUGUCAGGGGAGCCAGGGGUGCCUGGAUUCCCAUGCUCCCAGGGGCCUGGCUCAUUUUCUGCCCCUCAGCAGGUGCACCUGGGAACAGCUGGGUGCUGUUGGCCAGGUAGGCCUGGGAGCCUAGGGCCCCAAGGGGGAGAGCAGGGUCCCCCAGAGCUGCACGAGACCUACAGUCACCCUACUGGACUGAGCCAGACUGCUGUGGGGUCCCCCAUGAAAAGACCACAGACCCCUCAUAGCUUCAGCCCUUAGGGGCACCAGCUGCCCAGACUCCAGACAGGGGCCCUGGACAGCUGUCCU